GCUGGGUGUGGUGUUGCACACCUGUAAUCCCAGAAACUGACUGGAGAGGCUGAGGCAGGAGGAUUGCCAGUUUGAGGUUAGUCUUGGCAAUUUAGCAAAACCCUGUCUCAA
rnacentral:sRNA from 1 species